GGGGGCGUCCCGGUUUCGACGGGAGCGCCGACGCUUAGAAGGCAUGUCGGGGGUCCACACCACCCGUAAUCGGAGUGGAACAUAGACAACUGCCAACACGCAGUAUGCCUACGCUGCCUAAUUGAUUAGGUAGCCGUCUCCUUCAUCAGGCCCGCAUGAUGGAGAGAGGCGUCGAUUGGCGGGAUGGCUUGGGAUCCACCGCCUGGGGAUUCCGAGCGAGAGUCGCGAAAGCGGCUACAGGCUAGCUGGCGGUCCGUUCUUGCCCGUUCCUGAGAACCACUGGCGAAAUCUCGAAGUGACUGGGCUAAGCAUGUAGUCUUCUAACCGUCAGCCUCAUCGGACGGGGGUUCGACUCCCCCCGCCUCCACCA
rnacentral:tmRNA from 1 species